AAGUAUGCGAUUUGCAGACCUGCGAUUAAAGGGAAAGGGUAUGUCCUCCAUGUCCUUUGCUCAUCUUACCUCUGGCUGGAAGGCAGGUGUGAUGGUGAGAUGGUCAUGAGAUGGCAACCAUGUGUUGUAGAUGACAGAAGAACUAGAUGGAAGGAGCCUGGGUGUCCAGUAGUGUGGAGCCCCUAUUUUAGUUCCUGCACUGUUUGUGUGUAAGAUCCUUAAAGAAAACUUGUUCAGGUCACAGUUGUUUUAGCCUUAUUUAUUUAUAUUCAGUAGCUGACCCAAACAGAUGCAUCAGUGAGGGAAUGGUAAAGUAGGCUAUUCCUUCUUCUGAGAGGUACAUGGACAUCUCCCCAGGUUCUGUGAUGAGUGUAGCUUGUGUUAGUCUAACCAUAAAACUGCCUGUGCAGUACCUCUUAGGGCACCUCUGAUCUAUGGGAACUGGCAUCUUUGUAGAGUGUAAGUUCUUGUUGUACCUAAUGCCACCAAGUCUGUCUCCUUGGUGCUGAUCCCUACGGGGAUAAUUAUCAGUGAGUUUAUCAGUUUCCCAAGGCUGCCAAAACAAAUCACCGUAACCUUGCUGAUUAAAAUGACAGAAAUAAAUUCCCCCAUAGCUCUGGAGGCCAGCAGUCAGGAAUCAAGAUGUGGGCAGGGCUGGUUCCUUCUGAAGACUCUGAGGGAGAAUCUCUCCCGUGCCUCUCUCCUUGCUUCUGGGGACUUGAGCACUCCUUGGCAGUCCUGGCUUACAGACAUAUCACUCCAUAUCCCUAUAUUCUUGUGUCUUCUUCUUUCUGUCUUUUAUAAAGAUACAUGUUAGUAGAUUUGGGACCCAUCCUAAUUCAGGAUGAUCUCAUCUCAAAACUCUUCCCUUAACUACAUUUACAAAGACCAUUCUUUAAUAUAAGGUCACAUUCUGAGAUUUUAGGUAGGCCUAUCUUUUUGGGGUGGCACUAUCUAACUUACUCCCGUGAGAACCUGUGAGCCCUUUAAGUGAUAUUUUUUAUCUCAAAAAAUUAUCAUCCACUGCAAUCACUUUUCAAGGAAGGGAUGUUCUCUCCAGAAGCUCUUGGAAUCUGUGGCAGGCAGAAACCUGCCUGAGAUAAAUCCCAAAGGCCCAUGUUCUAUAUACUCUUUUCCCAUUGAAUGUGGGUGGACCUAUAAAUUACUUCUAGCUCAUAGAAUAUAAUGAAGGUUCCAAGAAUCUGCUCCUGCAAUUAUGUUGUUAUAAGGCAUAAAGGAAGGACUUUUUAAGAUGUAAUUAAGGUCCCUAGUCAAUUGACUUAGUAAAGAGAGAGAUGAUUCUGGGUGAGCCUAAUCAGGCCGGCCAUUUAAAAGACAACUGAGAGGUCAAAGACUGAAGAAGUCAGAGACUCUUGCUGGCCUCGAGGAAGGUAGCUACCAUGAGUUCUACAAAGUUAGGGAAAUAGGUUCUGCCAGAAACCACGGGAGCUUAGAAAAAGAUCUUGAACCUUGGGUGAGACCAUAGCCUUACCCAACAUCUUGACUGCAUUCUGUCAUCCAGCUAACCCAUACUUGGGCUCCUGACACAAGGAAACUGUAAAGUUAAUAAAUUUGUGUUCUUCUCAGCUGCCACGUGUGUGGUGCUUUAUUACACACAAUAGAAAAUGAAUACAGACUCACUGCACAAUUCGGCUGGAGGCUGCUCUUUCCGGCACUUCUUCUCUGGCAGUGUUUUUAAAGGUUUCCCAUCAGAACCCCAAACACAACAGGAAGGUCCCCCUGCUGUGAUCUAAUGUUCCCUAGCCAUCCUUUGCUCCUGAGAGAAUGACCAGCCUUCCC
rnacentral:lncRNA from 1 species